GAGUGAUUUGUGAUGCGUGUGAAUGAAUUCUGGAGAUAAAUAAGUGUUUCGGCGCAAAUUGGGCGCGAAACGAAAUAUAAAGAGAAUUUCGGAUUUCCGACGCUAAUUUUGAUUAAAAGAAUUAAAGUAAGGCGUGAGGAUAAAUUGUGGUAUCUCCGAAUCAAUUGUGAAGUUUCGGAAAAGCCAAGGGUGUGUUUUCAAAGGGUUUUGAAGUAUUCAGUGCGAAGUGGUAGUGCAAAAAGGAGAAAUUUCUGCCGUGUAAUGAAAUUGGAGCCGAUUCUAUUGCUAAUUCGGCUCAAAUAAUGUCAAAAUGAAAAGGAAUUGCUUCCAAAUUAAAUUGGUAGCUUAUGAAGGUCCCUUGGUAUAUUUUGGAAGUAUUUGGGUGAAAUCGGAGUGAAAACGGAAACUUUAGAAUUUUCUGUAAAGAACGGGACUGAGAAAAUUAGCAGAAAAUGCACAGUGUCAGAAAAUUAUGAAAAUUGGAAGAGAUGUCAGGAACAUUUUAAUGAGGCUAGAUUUGAAGUUUCAGAUUUUUCUGACACCUGUAGAGAGAGAAAUAUCAUUUGGAAGUUAUCUGAUAAAGAUUACAGUUUGGGACAGUUCGCAGUGACCAAACGGGGUCGAAACUGAAAUGUUAAAAUUUCAGUGGACUUGUUAAGUAAAAACGAACAUUCCUGUCAAAUUUGAGCUCAAUCGGACUUUAGGAAGAGCUUACGAAGGGUAUCUGAUCCAAGGUCGCUAAACGGAUAAGUCGAGGGGCAUUUUGGUAACUUGGACAGGUUUAGUGGAAUUCCACUAACCAGCCAGGUUCCCCUCCAUCCUUAUCCCCUCUGCCACCUCUCCAUUCUCUCUACGUAGAGAGAGAGAAGGAGGAAGGAAGAGAAGAAAAGAAAAGAGAGGAAGAAGAAGAAGAAGAGAAAAGAAAGAAGAUGAAAAGAGGUAAGUUUAACCUCUCCCUGCAUCUCUCUCCCUCUCAUCUCUCCCUGCUGCUACUGGUUGUAGCAGCAGUAGCUUCAGCAAUUAGCUCAGCAGCAGUAGUAGCUGCUGUCAACAGCAGCUUCAGCUGCUGUCAACAGCAGGCGCAGGAGCAACAGCAGCAGCAGUUAGCAACAGCAGCAGCAGUAAUAACAGCAGUUAGCAUCAGCAGCAGCUGCAAUAACAGCAGCAGCAGCAUCAGCAGCUUAGCCCUGCUGAGCUGAGUAGCAACAGCAGCUCAGCCUGCUGCUGAGCAGUCAGCAGCAGCAGGGCAAGCAGGCAGCAGCAGUAGCAGAAGCUGUCAACAGCAGCAGCAGCUUGCGCAAGCUGCUGAGCAGCAGCUUCAGCAGCUGCAGGAGCAGCAGCAGCUUAACAGCAGUAGCAGUAGCAGCAGCUUGCGCACAGCUGCUGUCAGCAGCAGCAGGAACAGCAUCAGCAGCAGCUGCUGCAGGGGAAAGAAGGAAAGGAAAGAAAGAAAGAAAGAAAGUAGAGAAAGAAAGAAAAGAAAGAAGGAAAAGAAAGGAAGAAAUCUGCAGGAAAGAAAGAAAGAAAGAAAGAGAAGAAAAAAAUGAAAGAAAGGAAAUGAAAUAGAGAGAAAAAUGAAAUCGAAGUCUUUGGGCAGAUUUCAUUAAUUAUUUUUGAGAUUCUUGGGCUAAAAAGAGUUGAAUUACUCUAGUGAAUUGUGAAAUUGCAUUGAAACGAGCUUCUAUAGAAAUUGACCCCGAUAAUGCACUUUUGCAGGAUAGAAGUUCUAAAGCGAAAUUGACCGCGUACAAACCUAAUUGGGGGUAAAAGAAACGCGCUGGCGAAGUCGGUUCGGCAAUCCGUCGCUCCUACGCGAAGAUAUCGCCAAAAGAAGAUUUUCGGCAUCGAUAGUCGCGAGCGCGGGUCGCGGUUCUCGGGAAAGCGCUAGAAGCGCAUUUCUCCCUUUCCGGCAUCAAAGAAAGGUGGGUUGUGCUUCACCGAAGUGAUUAGGUCACUUCCAUGCCAAAGUAAAUCAUAGUUUCAUUUGACGCAUAUAUGACGAUAACUGUCGGCAUAUGAAUGCUAAAUGCAUAUAAGUAGGCCUAUAUGAGUGUGUGGGCAUAUGUUAAUGCUAGAUGAUCCAUGUGAAUGUGAAUGCUAAAUGAAUAUGAAUAGGAAUAUGAAUAUGAAUAUGAGUAUGAAUAUGAAUGCCAUAUGAAUGCUAGAUGCACAUGGAUAUUGAACGCUAGAUACAUAUGAAUGAAAUUGUCGAAAUGUGAAUACAAAUGCUAAAGUAAACAUAAUUGUUGAUACAUGAUACAUGAAAGCUAGUGUUAAAGGCUUAUGAAUAUGAAUGUUUAACGUCUAUGUCUAAACAUAUAUGAAAGUGAAUGUAUUGAUAACCAUAUUAGAUGUAUAAUUGUUGAUACAUGAAAGCUAAUACUUGUGAAUAUGAAGGUUUGAUGCUUAUAUCCAAACACAUAUGAAAAUGAAUAUACUAUAAUUCAAGCUAUAUGAAUAUCGAUAAUUCUCGUUGAUUAGAAACCUCAACGGUAACAAGAUACAUGAGAACAUGUGAACUAUGAACCUAGGCAAGAACACCUAGGGUGAUGUAUAGAUCGAGUGGCAUGAGUUUAAGUUAUUAAACAUAAGAAACAUAAGUUGGACAUUAUAUCGACGGUGUGGAAUGAACCUAAGUUAUUAAACCUAGGUUGGACAUUGUAUAGAUCGAGUGGCAUGAACCUAGUGUUAUUGAACAUAGGUCGGACAUUAACCUAGCGUCAUUGGCCCUAGGUCAAGUAAGUUAACCUAGAGUUGAGAUCUAGGAGAAAGAAUAUUAAACCUAGUGUAAACGAACCUAGGUUAUGAUGUAAUGAAACACUCGAUAAAAAGUAAAUCAAGUUGUGAAUUAUAGUGGCAAUAGGACCACUAGAAAGUGAAUAGUAUAGACCUAAGAAGGUCGUCAACAUAGGGUCAGUGAGUAAACCCUUAAGUUGUGAAAUGGAUUCCGGAAUCCUUAGGAAUGGUGUGAUGGCAGAAAUAGAAUCUUAACUACGGGAUUGACGGUUCUCCUCUCCCGGUAGUGAUUCAACGGGAUUGACGGUUCUCCUCUCCCGGUAUGCCAUGAAACAAGUGAAGUGAAUCGAAACUACGGGAUCGACGGUUCUCCUCUCCCGGUAGUGAUUCAACGGGAUUGACGGUUCUCCUCUCCCGGAGCUAACGGGUUUGACGGUUCUCCUCGCCCGUUGAGCUUGAGCGACUUAGGGUCACGGGGAUCGACGGUUCUCCUCUCCCUGUGAUGGACCUAGUGUCGCGUGGACUUAAGGCUGAGGUGUUGUGAGACGUCCUUCACCUCGAGCCUGACUUGACGCGGUACUCCGCGGUUGAUUGACUCAAGACCGAGUCGAGUGGCUAGAUGGCUAAGGUAAAGUAACCUUAGGAAAGAAUCGCCAGUGAGUACAGUAAGAAUAAAGAAUAAAGCAUAAAGAAAAGAAUAAAGAAAAUAGCUAAUGAAUGAAACUAGCUAAGAAAGAAUAAAACGGCUACAAGUAAAGAAUGGCUAAUGAUAUAAAGUAGAAUCAAGUAAGCUACUUUCAUGAUUUACAGGUAUUGCAUAGUGCAUAGCAGCGAGGCAAGGUAUGGUUCUAUUUGUUGCAUCGUUAAAUAUCUAUCUAUCUAUUUGUUGAACUAACCUACUGUUGCCUCCUUUGGACCUGGUGGGUCGAGCUCUUCUCUUGGGUGGCCGUACCCACUGGGAACUAUAUUUAUAUAGUUCUCACCCCCGUGUUGUUUUGGGGGUACAGGUUACACGCGAGCGGCGCGGCGGCGCGAGGACAGGGCGUAGCUUCGUAGAUAGCGCCCCACCACUGAGACUGAGAUAGCAACACCCUGAAGAGGUCAAGUUCAGAGUUCAAAUGGAAAGAAACAAAAUUGUAGUAAUUUGUAUAAGUUUCAUAUUAACUUAAAAGCAUAUGUGGUUAUGUAAAUGUAAAAUAUUAUAAAUGUAAAAGAAUCUCUGAGAUGAAUACUUGUAAUAGCAUAGUUUGCACUUUAUGUUUUCGAUACAUAUGCAAUCUACAUACUUGCUACAGUUCCUGUUUGGAACCUCUUGUAUUGCAUUGUUUAGAUUGUUGACGCCUAGAACGUACAGGGGAGGCUCUGUCCGUUCGGCGGUCUGUCGACGAGCCCGAAUCCGACCAAAUAGGCGGAGCUCGGGGCGUGACACCACAUGUCAUAAUUAACCACACAUCAAGCUCGACCCUAUAACGCAUGAAUUUCAGCUAAACAUAUACAAUCCAUGUAUGCUCAAGAACGACGACAUAAACAUAAAAGGUCAUUCGAUGACUUCGGAAAGCACCACCCACCUUUAAAUAAUACCGGAAUGCGAGAAAUCCACUUCCCGCAAUUUAUGAACCAUCCCGAUCCUCGCUCGCGACAAACGAAGCUAAAAUGAGGUUUUCCUUAUUAGCGUGCCGUAGGCUCGUUGGAAUGUCAAUUUGAACUUCCGAGCGCGUCCACUAUUCCUUCAUAGAGGAAUAAAAGAGAUUAAGUUCAGGUCAUAUUUUCAUUUUUACAAACUUUGCAUUUUAACUCCAACUUGUAUAUAUGUAUAUAUUAUUAACAUAUACAUAUACCUAGUCUUACUAUUAAGCUUCCUAUCAAUUCUGUACUUUAGUAACUGAGAAUUAGGGACAAAUAAUACCAACUUCAAACAGGAUUUAGUGGGAUUUUAGCUCAGAUUUUGUCUCCCAACCACUAAUCCUAAGUAUACAUAUACAUAUACAUAUUACAUAGAGUUAGCUCCAUAGAGCCCCUAACACUUAGAAACUUCCACACUUAAGAAGUUCCUAUUUAACUUUUCUUCACAGCAGGGGGCAUCUUUCCAACCAAAAUUCAAGACCCAUUCACUGCAAAUUUUGCUCUAACCAUCCAUCAACAUGUAUAUGUAUAUAUAUGUAUGCAGUUUUAUAUAGUUUCCAAGGCUUCUAUAGCACUUAUACAUGUUAGUAACUAAGAAUUCACAGCCUAAAUCACCAAGAACUCACAGCCUACUCCCUCUCUAAAUUAAAUACCACAACCUUAAACAGGGAAGAAGCUCAACAUGUCUCAGGUUACUUGUCUUAUAUGGAUACAAUUGACAUGUAACUUACCUUCAUGCUUAAUGGAUUCCAAGGGCUCUAACAUUAAAAUCUGUAAGUCAAUCAUUUUUAGAACCUUAAUAUGCAACAUCUAAACCAGGAACAAGCAUAAUCCAUCUCAGAUUUUACUCUAAUCAUUCAUUCAAAUGUACAUUUAUAUGCAUAUAUGCUGUCCCUGCAGAAUUUCUCAGCUCCAUACACAAUUAUACCCACUUUAACAAUCUAGAACUCUUUCAAAGCAAACAAUACUACUCAAAUUUGAAUUGGGCAUCAUUCUAACCUGAAUUCAGAGCUUCCCCAAGUUACUCUCAGCUCAAUUCUCUUCUCCUCAGCUGAAAUUCUUGCUCGGCAACUCUACCAGGCCAAAAACAUCAAGUCUGCAAGCUCUAGCAGCAAGAAACAAUUAUGUAGAUCAUCUCUAAGUCAAUUAACUUGACUAAAAUCAGAUAUUAACCAAGCUUACCUUAAUUAGAUGCUGUACCAAGUUGCUCUUAGCUUCUGAAACCUUCCUUUCAGCUCAAUUUGCCAAAAAAAACUGCACUUCUCCACUUUCUUCUUUACCUACUUACUUCUACAGUUGAGAAAGAAAGAGAGGGAGAAUUAGAUAAAGAAGAGAUGAAGAUAAUGAUCCCAACAUCUAAGCAGGUGCUGGGUACCUGGGGUUAAAAGAUAAGACCAAAAAAUCGCACUUUAACCCCCCAAAGGACUGAAGUUGCAUUGUAGUCCAGCAGUUCGCAGUUCAGUCCCUGCAGGUUCACAAAUCAGUCCCUGCAGGUUUACAGUUCAGUCCCUGCACUAACAGCAGCUGGCAGUAGCAGUUUUUAGCCCCCUUUGCGCAUCUAAUUUACUUCGAGUCCAUUCAAACACUUCCAAAACACAUUAAUAAACCUCCACAAGCUACUAAUUUAGCUCGAAAGCAACCAAUUCCAUUUUAGCAUUUAUCUUGAUCAUUUCACGCCCGACUUGCAUCAAAUACUCAAUUACCUUCAGAAAUCAUUUCCACACUUCCAAAAUCACUCGGGAAUGAUGCACAUCCAAUUCAAACUUCACUUUGAUCUUCCAGAGCAAAGUUAGCGUCGCAACUCAAAAUUUCAGUACAUUACAAGGAUGGACCUAGGAGACCCUAGGUUGGCAACCUUAAGGCUAUAGGUGCGUGAGUAAGACGUGAACCUAUACCGGUGGCGGAAGUUGAUCGAUUGGGUCGAAGUUGAUAGUAUGUCUCUAAUGGUUGAUAAAGACGGAUUCGAGUGGUAUUAUUUCUCGACUCGAAGUGGUUGUGUUGGCUGCCGACAACAUGACGCUAAGAGUCUAGAAUGAUUACCCUUGUGUGCUUCCGCCCGAUUUCGAUGUUGAGUUGUUUGUCUCGUAGUUGCAGGAAGUUAACGGGUUAAUGUGAUUAACCAAUUUGUUGCAUUUCAGGAGCUAUGGCACCGAGGGGACGCCCUAAGACUAGAUCCACUCCGGCACCACCUCUCGAGUUGCCCGAGCAGUCGGGAUCUGGUGAAGUGCGGGAGUUACGAGCGCAGAUCGCUAAGAUGGUUGGCGCAAUGCAGCACCAAGAGGAUCAAAUAGCAAGGCUGCAGGAACUGGUGGCAUAGCAGGCUUCAGCCUAGGGGGAUGUUGAGCGGCCCACGCCUCCAGUGGUUGCGCCCAUCGUGACAGAGGGUGUGGCAACGGCGGCCGUGCCGGUUGCAGCGAGACCCGCCCCGGCUAUGGUAGCUACUGGUUUGGGGACUUCAAACCCCGAAGAUGCGGCUAUGGCGGCGGAGAGGGAGCACGCACUAGCGGCCCUUGUGAUGUUCCGAAAAUUCGAUCCGCCAGUAUUUGACGGGGAGAAGGUCGAGCCUUGGAUGGUCGAGUCAUGGGUAGACUCGAUGGAGACCUUGUUUGAGGACCUCUACACGUUAGAGAGGGACAAAGUGCACCUCGCCACACGUUGUUUGGAGCGGAAGGCGAAAGUGUGGUGGAAGUGGAUUAAGCGGGAUCGGUCUUCCGACCUUCCGCCGUUGACGUGGGAGGAAUUUCAGGGUUUGCUAUUUACUAAUUACUUCCCCGAUAGUGAGAAGAAAAAGCUCCAGGAGCAGUUCAGAAAGUUGAAGCAGGGUAACCGCUCGGUAGGGGAGUAUGAGCGGGAGUUCUCACACAUUAUAAACUGCGUCCCCGACGUAGUGCGGGACGACAGGGAUCGAGCGGAUUGGUUCGAGCGAGGACUCCGGCCGGAUAUCUAUAGGGCGGUUCACAUUCUUAAGCUCACUUCCUUUGCGAAGAUGUUAGAUCGGGCGUUGUGGGCGGAGCAGGGUAAUGCCCACGUCCGUGAGGAGCGCGAAGCAUUCGAGAGGGACGGUGGAAAGAAGCGGGCUCAAAGUGGCUCGAGAGCUCAGUCAAAGUCAAGAAAGUCCCCGAAGUACCCGCGAACUCAGUCCAAGGGCCGUAGACCUCAGCGGUGUGCUAUUUGUGGUGGAAAUCAUGUACCAAGGGCUUGCGGGAAGCGGGAAGGAAAGUGCUUCACUUGCGGUCAGGCGGGACAUAUCAGUUGAUACUGUCCGUUGAGGGCUUUGCCCACCCCGUCUGUGGCAUUGGCUCCGACGACUCCAGAAUAUUAUGGAGGAGCCCCACCUACUGCUGUAUCUGCCGGACGUGCUAUGGCGCCGUGUCAGCCCGAGGUGACGCGAUCGGCUCUAAGCGGAUGGGUAUUCGCCGCUCAAGCCGAGGAACCUACCGAGGCCAAGGAGCGCUAUGUGGUGGCAGGUAUGGUUUUAAUUAACGGAGUUCGCUUCAGGGCUAUGUUUGAUACAGGUGCUACACAUUCAUUUAUUAGUAGACCGUUCGCUGAGAUGCAUGGCAUAGAAGUCCAGUUGAGUGAUAGCACUUGGUGAGUAGAGGGCCCCGGGCGUGCAUUUGUCUUUAGGAAAGAGUGCUUGGCUUGUCCGGUGCAGUUGAGCAACUGGAUUAUGCCGACACGGAUGUUAGUGCUCAAGAAGUUGAAGGACUUCGACAUCAUAUUGGGCAUGAACUGGCUCUCGAGAUACUAUGCGUCUAUCGACUGCAAGAACAAGGUGAUAACGUUUUGUGAGCCAGGACAGGAGGAGUUUGCUUAUCGGGCGUGCAAGAGCUCGUGCUUCGCCGCGACGGUGUCGGUGCCGAGGGUGAGGAAAUUGGUUAACAGCAGUUGCGUGGCUUUUUUGGCGACCGUUGUGGAGGUCGAGAGGGUGCCUCCGGCGCUCGAGGAUUUGUUCGUGGUCCGGGAGUUUUCGGAUGUAUUUCUCGCGGAGUUACCCGGGAUACCACCGGAUCGGGAGAUCGAGUUUGUGAUAGACUUGGUUCCCGGGACCGCGCCGAUCUCGAAGGCUCCAUAUCGUAUAGUACUGGCAGAACUAAAGGAGUUGAGGGAUCAGUUGCAGGAUCUCCUUGAUAAGGAAUUCGUCAGGCCGAGUGUAUCGCUGUGGGGAGCCACGGUAUUGUUUGUGCGAAAGAAGGAUGGAUCGUUUCGACUUUGCGUAGAUUAUCGCGAGUUGAACAAGGUUACUAUCAAGAACAAGUACCCGUUGCCCCGAAUCGAUGACUUGUUUGAUCAGUUGCAAGGGUCUCGAGUGUACUCCAAGGUAGACCUCCAGUCCGGUUAUCACCAGUUGAAGAUAAAGCCGGAGGAUGUGCAGAAGACCGCGUUCCGUACGCGGUAUGGACACUAUGAGUUCACCGUUAUGCCGUUGGGCUCACCAACACCCCGGCGACGUUUAUGGAUUUGAUGAACCGUGUCUUCAAGGCGUAUUUGGACCGAUUUGUCGUGGUCUUCAUUGACGACAUCUUGGUCUACUCUCGUAGAGACGAGGAGCAUGCCGAGCAUUUGAGGUUGGUGCUUCAAGUCCUUCGGGAGGAGAAGCUAUAUGCAAGGUUGAAGAAAUGUUACUUUUGGCUCCGAGAAGUUGCAUUUCUAGGGCAUGUUAUUUCCGAGGGUGGAGUUUCAGUUGACCCAAGAAAAGUUGAUACGAUCAAGGAUUGGCCUCGCCCAACGAAUGUCACGGAGGUCCGAAGCUUUGUGGGCUUAGGGGGCUAUUAUAGACAGUUCGUAGAGGGUUUCUCGAAGAUAGUUAUUCCGCUCACCCGUUUGACUCAGAAGGGCACCAAGUUUAUUUGGAGCGUCGAGUGCGACCGGUGUUUUGGAGAGUUGAAGGAAUGAUUAACUUCGACUCCGGUGCUCGCCCUACCGGUGCAGGAUGAAGACUUUGUGGUGUAUAGCGACGCGUCCUAUUUGGGUUUGGGGUGUGUUCUAAUGCAAGGCGGGAAGGUGAUCGCGUAUGCAUCCCGUCAGUUGAAGAGCUACGAGAAGAACUACCCUAUCCAUGACUUGGAGUUAGCUGCGGUGGUAUUUGCUCUUAAGUUGUGGAGGCACUAUUUGUAUGGCGCGCAUUGUGAGGUAUAUACUGACCACAAAAGUCUAAAAUAUUUGUUUACACAGAAGGAGCUCAAUAUGCGGCAACGGCGGUGGUUGGAGCUGUUAAAGGAUUAUAAUGUCACAAUCCUCUACCACCUCGGGAAGGCGAAUAUAGUCGCGGAUGCGCUUAGCAGGAAGUCGGUAGAGAACCUCGCGUUGUGGGUCACAAACCAAAAGCCCUUGCGGAAAGAAAUAGGACGAAUGGAUCUUGAGGUAGUAGCUCCAGAGGUUACGACUAUGCUAUCUACUCUCGUUGUCCAACCGACCUUGUUGGAGAGAAUAAAAAAUCUGCAACCUGCGGAUCUGAAUCUCCAAAAGGUACGGCACGACAUUGAGGGUGGGCGUGGUGGCUAUUUUAGUAUAGACGCCGGCGGUGUGCUUCGAUAUCGAGACCUGUGGUGUGUACCGGAAACUGAAGAAGUCUGCAAGUUGAUUCUGCAAAAGGCACAUUGGUCUCCCUAUCGCGACCACCCGAGCGGCACCAAGAUGUAUCAUGAUUUGAAGAUGCUCUAUUGGUGGCCGGGAAUGAAAGGUGAUGUUGGGCGCUUUGUGGCGCAAUGCCUAGUAUGUCAACAGGUGAAGACGGAGCGCUGGUUUCCAGUGGGAAAGCUUCAAAGCCUACCUAUUCCCGUUUGGAAAUGGGAAGAUAUAUGUCACGUCCCGCUAUCGCCAAUUUGGUCGAUCCGGGCCCGUACACAGACGUCGAACGGACAGCACCUCCCCUGUCUGCCCAAGGCUCAACAAUUAUAGCUACAUGUAUAAAGUAAGAAAUAAUCCCAGGAGAAUAUUUCAAUAUACAUGGCUUGCACGAGAGCAAGCAACAAGCACAAGUGAAAGCAACUAACUAUACAUAAAAUUCACUGUAAUUUAAAACUUUUAAAACUGAACUAUACAUAACUGAAUAACUGAAACAUUUAGUUAUUUACAUGCUCUCUUAUACAUUCAUUUACAAGUCUCUGUUCAUCAUUAUGUACAAUAUGAAACCAAACGUGUCACGCCCCGCGACUGCCCGCCUAUUUGGCCGGGUCGCGGCGCCGCCAACAGAUCGCCGAACGGACAGGGUUUCCCCUGUACUGCGGACAGAGUCUCCCCUGUACGUUCAAGGCAUAGCAAUCAAUACAAUGUGCGAAGUUCCAACCAGGAACACAUUUCAAUCAAGAUUGCAUAAUGGAAGGUAUCAAACAACAUAAACACAUCCUAUAUUAUUACAUUCAUUCACAUUAGAUUCAUUUUACAUCACAAUUACAUAAUACAUUCUUUUUAGCUUCCAAAUACAAUCUAGCUUUAACAAUAUUAUUACAACUUGAUUCUUUUCAUUUUCUUGCAUCCCUAAGUAGGGCCGACUCAGGGUACCGCUAUCUCUGGUCUCGAUGGUAAGGUGCUAACUAUGGAGCUACGCCCUCGCCUCGCGCCGCCGCGCCGCUCACGUGUGAACCUGUAAACACCCCAAAACAACGUGGGGUGAGAACCAACUUCAUGGUUCCCAGUGGGUACGGCCACCCAAGGGAAAAGCUCGACCAAUAGGUCCAAGGGAGGCAACUGCAAGUUAGUUCAAUAAACAGAUAGAUAUAUAUCUUGAUUAUGCAACGAAUAAAACCAUGCAUUGCCUCACGAAUGCAAUAAUGUAAUGCUAUAUGCAAAUCAUGCAAUAAUGCAACUAUGCAACCAACUAGUAGUUCAUUCGAUACUACUUUCAAUUCUGCUAACCAUAGCUCAUCCGUUUGAUAUCUAAGGUUUCCUUUAUCAUAGAUUCUUGUCAAUCACCGUUUUAAUCAUAAAGUUCCAUCUACCUUUACAAGGCUAACCACCCGACUCGGUCUUGAGUCAAUCGUCUGCGGAGUACCGCACUAGAACCAGGCUCGAGGCGAUGGACGUCUCACAUACACCUCAGCCCUAGAUCCUCUCGACUAGGAUACCAAAUCCAUAACUCAUAAUGCAUACUUGUUGUACACUCAUUUGGCUAUGACCCAAUCUUACCGGUUAACCAUGUUAACCCCAAUAACUCACAACCAAAUCCCUUAAUAACGGGGGACUCGAACCUCCCUAGGGACCGUCAACUGGUGGGACUUUACCACGCCCAGUGGUGACCAACUCCGGAGCGCACCGCCCGAGGGGGAGCUACCUCCCUCAAGCCAAGACUUAUCGUGAGUGUCGAUCCAAUCCUCAACUUGAGGAUACAUAGCCACUAGUCACAAUGCCAAUGUCACAAUAGGUUUCUACCUAUUUAAUCAUGCCACUCUAUGUCAACUUGGACCAAUGUCAAUAUGGUUAAACUAUGUUUAACAAUCACUUUCUUGAUGCCAAUCAUGUCUCUAUUGUCAUUGUCACCCUUGUUUACUAAUGUUCAAGUCCAACUCUCACAUUUACACAAUAAUAGGGUCCUAACAUACAUGAAUGACACCAGAAUAUAUAUGAUCAAUCACCACAAGUGUUUGCUAGGUUCAAGAUGCUAGGUUUAAUGCCACUCGAUCUAAUAUAUAUAUAGAUUGUCCACUAUGUUCCACAACAUGGCAAUAUGUCAUCAAGUAUGUUUUUCUAUUUAACAUAAUCCACAAUAUGUAAAUUCAUAAUAUAUCAUCAUGCACAUAUACCACUAGCAUCACAUGAUUUGUCAACAUACAUAUAGUCAUUAUCCAAAAUAGUCCAUACUUAGCAUCUCAUGCAUUCUUUUAGCACUUAAUUCAUUAUGCAUUACAUUUAGCAUAUUCUACAACAUGUCAUCAUACAUUCCUUUUAUGAUGUUCUUAUAAUGCUAACAUUCAUACGCCCUUUAUAUUAUGCAUUCAAAGCAUUAAUCAUAUGCAUUUAUCUAGCAUUUCUAUAGUAUGUUAACAUGCAUUCUUUUCACAUUCUUAUAUUAUGUCAAUAUGCAUCAAUAUGAAAUCUCAUUUCUUAGACAUAAAGGGCGACCUAGUCGCUUCGGUAAGCACAACCCACCUCAUUUCGCAUUCCGAUUGCUUGUCGACACUUGCAAUCGGCCUCCCGCGGCACCCGGCACCCGGUUUGGCCCGAUCUCUCACGCGACCACCCGAACGGCCUCCAAUUCACGAUCCGAAAAUUAAAGGUCUUCGGUUAUGUGCCACGAUGCUUCAAAUCCAUUUUCAUGAAUUUACGAUAUCGCCUCGGCCCUCCCGGCGGACCCGAAGCCUAAACGUCCAUUUCUUUAAUAACUUUGUAACGGCUCGUCGGAUUGCCGAACCGUCUUCGCCAACGCGUUCGUUUACCUAGCAAUUUGGUUUACGGAGGGUCAAAUGAGAUCAAACCCAUACAUUUUACAAAACCCCAUUCGGAGCCCUAACAUGCAAUUAACCUCUAAAUAAUCCAAAUUAAAUAGAGCAAACAUGUUUAGAAUGCUCAUUAGAGGCUAUUAGAACACUUAAAACUAAGGAUUAAGCCAAAUCCCAAAAGCUUACCUCAAUGUGAACGCCGCGACGAAAAUACGCCGCUCCAACGGGCGCACGAAAGCUCGAUCCGUCGCCUCCAACGCGUUCGCAAGCAUCUUCUCCACCAACCCUCCAAUUUUUAGAGAGAGAUUUAGAGAGAUGAGAGAGAUCUCUAGAGAGAGAAGGGAGGGUUUCCCUCCCCCUCCAUGCGCGUGUGUGUGUGUGGGGUGUGUGCGGCUGAAGGAGAAGAAGAGGAGUCAACACUCCUCUUUAGUCAACCCCACGACACUAUUCACUCCCGGGCAGCUUGAAAUCUGAUAACUUUCGCCGGAGCUCCCUGAAUGUCCGUUUGAGCUCAAACUUGACAGUCAUGUUCGGUUUUACUUAACUUAACAAGCUGACGAUCGCUGGUUCAGUUUCGACCCCGUUUGGUCACUGAAAACUGUACCGAACUGUAAUCUUUAUCAGAUAGCUGUCGGAUUUUAUUUCUCACUCUACGGGUGUCAGAAAAAUAUGAAACUUUAAAUCUAGCCUCAUAAAAAUAUUUCUGACUUAUCCUCCAAUUUUCAUAAUUUUCUGAGACUGUGCAUUUUCUGCUAAUUUAUCUGUCCCGUUUCCAACAGAAAAUUCUAGAUCUUCUGUUUUCAUUCCGAUUUCAGCACAAGUCACUUCUGACUUAUGUUUUACUUCUACAAAUCCAAUAAAAAUAGUUUCUCACACUAUUUUUAUUUAUUUUUAUUUUUAUACCAAAAUCUGGUAUGUUACAUUCUCCACCCCUUAAAAGAAUUUCGUCCGCGAAAUUCAAACCACGCCUCAAUUCAGCUCCGCGAGCAAUUGAGGGUACCAACUCAUUCUCCCACUCCAGAGCGGCUUCACACUAUCGUGGUUCCAGAAGCGGCUCAUACUGAAGGACGUGGGUUUAAUCCUAAACUCAUUUGCAAAGUGUGAUACAAACGUGCAUCACGGGUCUUGCAAGUCAUAGUGGCAGCGCAAGUCGGUACUCGACGACUCUACGCGCUCCAACACCACUCGCCACUCGGUACACAAAGAACUCUUCUUUGCACUGGCCUUCCCUUUUGGGAAUACAUUCCAAUUCGAUCACCGACAUUGCUUAGAAGCAAUAUCACCGGUGCAUCGCUCCGUCGUGAGUGCUCUAAUUUCGCACUGACCCUUAACUUUAACGCGAGAUGGCCCACUUCGGCACAUCUCAAGUCUCAGUUCGCUUACGAGCAUAGUCUCCAACAUCACGUGGCUUUCCACUAGAUUGAUGUCUCACAAGGAGUACUUCAUCAUCUGAUACCACAUGCCACGAUCAACAUCAAACUAUUUUCGCAACGAGCUCACGCGAGCACUCCGUUCGUGAAUUCGAGUCAAACUCCUCGAUAAGGCUAUCUGCCAAAUCGCUCUCUUCGGUCUCCACAGGUGGACCAAAGGCCACCAAUCCUACGUAGGCCUACCGCCUAAACCUGUCUCAAUACGCAGCGUCUCUCGCUCGCAAAUGCAGACCCAAUCAUGAUCGGGCGAAAUUCUCACUUGGGAAUUCGCACACACUCCAACCAGGAGCAACUAAGACCCCAAACCACGUCAAGUCCUCGGGUUGGGUCACAACCAUACUCGGUGUACCAUCGGUCACACAAUCUAUCACGUGGCAUUCCACGCUCCCGGGCCUAAACUCGGACUACCGUCCUGACCAGAACUCUGCCCUACCCGUAGGUACCGGGCCGCUGUCACUCACAGCUGACUGCGCCUGCCCAAUGGGCCCAGGCUCCACAGUCCACAAAUGGUCCAGGCACGGGUCGUCCCCAAGCACUACCCGCCGUCGUCGUCCUACACGACAUACUCUACCGAGUCACACGUACCAAUAUCGGUUCCUAUGCACCUAGUGCGAGUCACCAGUCCCACGAGUGAUCCAUGGCACGCUUCGCACCUAGCAAUGCUCAAGUGCUACUGCCAUUACACUCUCUCGGCUGAAUUCACAUCCGCACUUUACGGGUAUCUACACUCGAGCGCUCUACGCCUCUACAGCGUUCCACAGUAAGUCCAGCAUUAGGCAAUCUUGCCUAUGCACACCGAUCGCACGAGCACAAUCGCCUACCUCACCUUGAGGUACUACUAGGCCCACGUGCUCAAACUUGGCCACUAAUCGACCGUUCUCUCAACAGUGAUGCUACUUUCACUGUUCGAUCUACCGGAAUGACAUCCAAAAUUUUCGGACUACUCGGGUGCCCAUAGGCAUUAUGGCUCGACUCUCGCAAUUUACUACUCAUAUUGCUCUGAGAGUCAUUUCGACACUUCUAUCUCUACCGCGAGUCUCAUUUCUCGCCAUAGAUUACUUCUAGCACUUCGCUAGUGCCAUCUGGCUUUAUACCUGUACUGGCAGGUACUACGCCCUCACAUAAUACAAAACGCCAUUUCUAGAGCAAUCAAGUCUAUCUCUAGAAAUUCACCAUGAGAGAGAGCUUAGAAGCUUACCUCUCCAAGAAGCUCCAACCAAGGAGAAGAUGAAGAAGAUGAGGAAGUCCUCUUUCUUCUUCUUUUUCUUCCCUUUUCUUUCUUCUUCCUCAUCUUGUCUACUAGAGAGAGAAAGAGAGAUAUGAGAGGGUGUGUGGGUGAGAAAUAAGAGAAAAGAGCUCUCAUACCCCUCACAUAGCCCCACAUGUUGCAUAAGUACAACCAAGCCCCUCAACUUUUACUCUUUUACACUGCCUUGACUGGGCCAUUUUCGUGUUCGGGGACCGGUCUCCCCGACGAGGGACCGGUCUCCGAGAGCUUCUCCCCGCAGUCAGCAGAGCUCACGCCCGAUGCAUCCGGUCUCUCUUUGGGGGACCGGUCUCUCAGGGACCGGUCUCUCCAGCAGGGACCGGUCUCCGAGAGCUGUCCACCAAGGACUUAGCCGAUUUUUCUCUCCUCUUGCUGCCUGCGCGUUCGGGGACCGGUCUCUCCACCAAGGACCGGUCCCGCGAGCAAGCCCACAAGCUGCAAGUCUUGCAGAUUUUGAUUUCCAAAGCUCUGAAGUCCCCAAUAAUGCAACUUUUCGCAUUAUUUGACGCCCUUCGCCUUUUCCAAAGCGACCAACCUCAUACUUGUCAAUUUUGCUAAGUUCGAUACUUGGUUAUCGACAGUCUCAGGUAUAUUACAUACCACUGAACAACAGCCAAUCUUUGACGAAGGGUUCAAUUUCUCGGACUCUCGAGAUUACUGUCGUUACACACGCUGUACCGACUACACCCCUAGUGUUCAAACCCGGUAACACAUGUUCCAAGAAUUCAGUUUGCAUCGCUUCGACCUACGAUUCGUUGCGGAGCAUCGCUAAACCUUCUAACUCUUUUAGAACUCAAUUCUAACCUUCCACAUUGUUAGAAUGUCAAUUGGACUUUGUCCAAUACUUCUCUCGACGCCACUUUGGUCAUUUGACCAAAAGUGACUAACCGACGAGAUUCGUAACUUCUCAAAGGUCACAAGGCGCCGCAAAGCUCUUUGUGAAGUUCCAAGUCUCCGUCGCCUCAAAUUUGCAGGCCAACACCACUUGAGCCAUCCCGCCGCCAACUAAGAAGAUCGCCUCGCGGUGGUUAUCGCUUCUAAAACAGCGACAAAUCUAUUAAUCCUCGACCAUUCUAGGUCGACAACACAGAACACUUUAAUACCGACUCAAAUCGGGCGAAAGUCACGCAGGAUCGUCUAUUCUCUUACGCCGGUUUGUGUAUGCAUCCAACAAUGAACACUCGGUUGCGAAUAACCACCCUUAAACUACCUCUAAACUAUCUGUUUUAGAGGUUUACAACCGUAACCCAAUCAUAACCUUUCGCAAAAGUCACAAGUCCGUCUCUCACGAGCCUUAAUCUCCAUGGUUUACUAUCCCUAGGGCUCUCCUAGGCUACCAACUAAACCAUUUUUCUAUUAUUCUUUUUAUUGUUCAUUUUAUUCUCUGAUACCCAUCUUAUCUGUCACGCCCGCGGACCGCCGCCUAUUUGCGGGGGCGCGGCGCUGCCGAACAGAUCGCCGAAACGGACAGGGUUUCCCUGUACUGGAAGAGUCUCCCCUGUAGGUCAGGAUGAGCAAUCAAUACAUGUUGCGAAAGUUCCAACCAGCUGAACACUUUCAUCAAGAUUGCAAAUGGACAGGGUAUAUCAACAACAUAACACAUCUAUGUAUUAUUACAUUCAUUCACAUUAGAUUACAUUUUUCAUCGCAUUAAUAUAACAUUUCUUUUUAGUAUCACAAUACAAUCUUAGCUUUUAACAAUAUUUAUUUACAACUUGAUCUUUUCAUUUUCUUGAUCCAUACAGUAAGGACCGCAUCGGCAGGUACGCUAUUCUGGUCUCGCGUGGUCAGGGCGCUACACUAUGAACUACGCCCGUCGCCCGCGCCGCGCGCGCUCACGUGCGACCUCACGUGAAAACCCCAAAACCACGUGGAGGUGAAGAACCAAUCAAUUUUCCCAGUGGGGUACGACCACCAAGGGGAAAAGUCGACCAAUAGGUCCAAGGGAGGCAACGCAAAGUAUAGUUAAUAAACAGAUAGAUAUGUUUAUCUUAUUAUGAACUAAUAAACCAAUGCUUCUGACUCCGAAUCCAUAAUGCCAUGCUAUAUGGAAUACAUGCAACUAUACACGUAGAAAAAUGUUAUUACUUUGUAUCAUGCUAUCCAUUAGCUUUUCAUAAUCAUACCUCUUAUCACUACAUCAUUGGAAUUAUUUGCUCCUAAGGUUUUCCUCUACCCUAGCCAAGCUAAUACACCGACUCAGGUCUCGAGUGUCCAAUCAACUGCGGAAUACCGCACAAAAUAGGUCGAGCGAUGGACGAUCUCACAUACACCUAGCCUAGAUCCCUCAACGUGGAGAUACACAAAUCAAGUAACCGUCAUAAUGCAUAUUUACAUCAUUGAGCCCUAUGAGCCAAUCUUACGGUACGCAUGUUAACCCCCAAUAAUCAACAAUACAAAAUCUAAUACGCGGGACUGAACCUCCCUUAGAGACCUGUAAACUGGUGGGACUUUACACGCCCAUGGUGACCAAGCUCCGGAGCGCACGCGAGGGGGACGCUAACUCCCUCAAGCAAGAACUUAUCGUGCAGUGAUCGAUCCAAUAUCUCAACUUGAGGAUACAUAGCCAUAGUCACAAUGCCAAUGUCAAACUUAGUUUACUAUUUAUCAUGAACAGCUUAUGUCAACUUGCGACCAAAUGUCAAUAAUGGUUAAACCUAUGGUUUAACAAUCACUUUUUGAUGCAAUGCAUGUCUCACUAUUAGUCAUUAGCCACCCUUGUUUACUAAUGUUCACAGCCAACUCUACACAUUUACACAAUAAUAGGGUCCUAACAUAUCAUGAAUGACACCAAUAUAUUCUGAUCAAUCACCCAAGUGUUUGCUAUAGGUUCAAGGAUGCCAGGUUUAUGCCUACAGUCGAUAACAUAUAUAGAAUUGUCACUAUGCUUCCACAACAAGAAUAUGUCCGAUCAAGUCAUGUUUUGUUCAUAUUUAACAUAAUCCACAAUAAUGUCCAAUUCAUAAUAUAUCAUCAUGCACUAUACACUAGCAUCACAUUGAUUUUGUCAACCAUACAUAGUCAUCUCCAAAAUAGUCCAUACUUAGCAUACUCAUGAUUCUGUUUUAACACUUAAUUCUUAUGCAUUACAUUUGCAUUUCAUAUAGACUAUGUUAGACAAUGCAUUCUUUCUCAUUUAUACUAUGUCAUUAUGCAUCAAUAUUGAAUUUCAUUUCUUAGACAUAAAUGGGCGACCUCGUGCUUCUGUAAACACAACCACCUCAUUUCGCGUUCCGAAUGCUUGUUCGACACUUGCACACUCGGCCAAUACCGCCGGCACCAAUAGAAAGAAAAAAAAAGGCAACCCGCGUUUGGCCCGGAUCUUCCGCGACAACCCCGAACGGGCUCCAACUUCACGAUCGAAAUUAAAGAGUUCUUCGGUCUGAUGUGCACGAUGCUUUCAAAUCGCAUUUUCGAUGAUUUACGAUAUCGUCUCGGCACUGCGGCGGACCGAAGCAGUAAACGGUCAUUUCUUUAAUAAUUUGUAACGGCUCGUCGGAUUGCCGAACCGUCUUCGCCAACGCGUUCGUUUACCUAGCAAUUUGGUUUACGGAGGGUCAAAUGAGAUCAAACCCUCAUAUUUUGAGUGUUUGCAUUUUGAGCCCUAGGUUUACAACUAUGCAAGAAAUUAUUAAAUUGCUCUAUGAUUCAAGCAUUAAUCAUCUAUUAGGCAUCAAUGGGUUCCACUAAAACCAUUUUCAAAGCAUUUAGACCUAUCUUUAGAGAUUUACCAUUAUAACCCUCAUUUUGGAGCUCUAGGUCUCAAUGGGUAAAAAUCCACUAUUAGAGCUUUGGUUUCAAGCAUCAAACCUCUAAUUAGUAUGCUAGAAUACCUCUAAACCCAUUCUUAGAGCUUAAAACCAAACUAGAGAGAAAUGCCAUUAAAGGGCUCAAGAAGCUCACCUCAAAAUGAGCUCCAAAUCAUGGAAAAGAUGAAGAAGACGAAGGCGAUCCACCUCCAAGCUUCGAUCUCCACCAAAUCCACUCUUUUUGGGAGAGAUUUAGAGAGAGAAAGAGAGGGUUUUCUCUCUCCCUUCCAUGCGUGUGUGCGUGUGUUGUGUGUGCGGGUUUGGGGCAGCCACGGUUGAGGGAGAAGAAGGCUUAAGCCCAUUUUACAAUUUAACCCCUCAACAAUUACACUAUUCAUCCCGGGCAGCUUGAAAUCUGAUAACUUUCGCCGGAACUCCCUGAGUGUCGGUUUGAGCUCAAACUUGACAGUCAUGUUCGGUUUUAUUUAACUUAACAAGCUGACGAUCGCUGGUUCAGUUUCGACCCCGUUUGGUUACUGAAAAUUGUACCGAACUGUAAUCUUUAUCAGAUAACUGUUGGAUUUUAUUUCUCACUCUACGGGUGUCAGAGAAAUAUGAAACCUUAAAUCUAGCCUCAUAAAAAUAUUUCUGACAUCUCUGCCAAUUUUCAUAAUUUUCUGAGACUGUGCAUUUUCUGCUAAUUUAUCUGUCCCGUUUCCAACAGAAAAUUCUAGAUCUUCUGUUUUCAUUCCGAUUUCAGCAUAAGUCACUUCUGACUUAUGUUUUACUUCUACAAAUCCAAUAAAAAUAGUUUCUCACACUAUUUUUAUUUAUUUUUAUUUUUAUACCAAAAUCUGGUAUGUUACAAAACGGGUAUAUACCACUAAAUUAACACCGGUGUCUGCUAGCUAAGCUGCUGGGCUCUUGCCGCGAUCCUCGGCCACACUGCUCGCACUAGAACCUGUAUGGUUAGUGGUGUAAGAACUACUAAAAGUUCCCAGUGGGUUCGGCCGCCGACCUCGCCGACUCACCCACUAGGUCUAUUUAGGCAUAUGCAGACAAGAAAAGUAAACAGAUAGUAACCAAUUAUAACAUGUAACUACUACAAUGCCUGUACAAAGCUGAAAGAAGUAAUAUAUGAAAACUGGUGAAUAUGCAUGCAUGCUUUUACUGAAAUUACCCAAUCCAUUGGUUAACCCUUUGGUUAACACUAACUCACUGACACUAUCCCAAAUAUCGAGGAGACGCAAGCUACAACCCGACGGGACUGUCAACUGGGGGAGACGCACCUCCUGGUCCAGUUAAGAUGACUACUCCGGAACUCAUCGUUCAAGGAGGAGCGACCUACCUUGAACAAAACUAAUGUGAGUAUGAUCUGAUCCUCCGUUAGAGGAUUCAACAAUAGACAAUAUUAUACUUUACUCUAACUAACUCUUUAUGAUAGUUUUACAGUUUCAUUUCUCGAUGCUAACCAAAUCUCUAGUCAUGAUGUCACCAAGUUCACUAUUGUUAUAGUCCAUGCAUUCAUAGGGUUCUAUAUCCACAAUCUAAUGUUCACAUAUUCUCACUGUUGAUAAGAAAUCACAUAUUCAAAUGUCACUUGCAUAAUGCCAAUACCCUAUAAUGCAAGAAUACAAUGUAACUAUGCUCAAUGAAUAAUAUAGACAUAAAGAGUGAUUCAAAGAUUUCGGAUAGCACCACCCACCUUGUAGGGAUGCCGAAAAGCUAAGCCCAACGUCUCGAAACGUGUAAACACCAAGCCCCCGCGACUCGAUGCCAAACAGGUAGAAUGAAGCGUUUCUUAAGUCGUAGGUCCGUCGGAAUAUCAACCCAAGCUUUCAAGCAAGUCAAUCUUUCCUUCAUAGAGGAAUAAAAGGGAUUAAACUUAAGUCAUAUUCAUAUUUUUACAACUUUGCAUUUCAACUCCAACUUGCAUAUAUGUAUAUAAUAUCAACAUAUAUAUAUACAGUCUUUCUAUUAAGUUUCUUAUGACAGUUUAGGAUUUCAAAAACUAGAACAACUCAUAAUUAACCCCCUUUAGGUAGUAAAUAUCAAUCUUUACUAUUACAAUUUCUGCCACAAGUUCCACUUUACUCUAAACAAUAGCUCACAUAUCAACUAUAUAACUUAUAGUUUACUAUAGGUCCAUCUAUAGCUUUUAUAGGUUUAUCCAUGACCACCUCAACCUUUAGAAGCUAACUAAUCCAUAAUUUAACUUCUUUACAUAGCAACAACAUCAUUCUUAAGUAGAUAGUAAAGUCACUCCACCUCAAACUUUAUCACCAACAACAACUCAUAAUACAUAUAUAUACAUACAUGCAUAUAUAUAUAUCGUAUAGAGUUAAUUUUUAUAUAGGGUUUAAGGCACUUAUGGUCUUAGCACUUUAAAAAUCCCUUGUUCACUACUUCUCCACAGUGAGGGAUAUCAUUCUAACCAGGUUUAGGAUCAAUUCAUCUUAGAUUUUCAUUCGAAUCAUUCCUUCACAUAUAUUCACACAUAUACAAGCUUUCCUUAGCAUAGUUUCUAGGUUUCUAGGUUUCAUCCACAAACUUUUGAGCCUAAACUUCAUGGUUCAAGCUUCUUUAGAAUGAGAACAUACUCAAUUCAGGGUCACUUAACCAUUCUAUUGCAGGUUUCAUCCCAAAAAUCCAUCAACAUGUGGAUAUAGGCUGCCAACAAGCUUCUUUAAACUUCUUUAAGUCUCUACAAGCUUAAUUCACUUAAAAAUCUCUCUCAAGGAGCAAAUAAACUAAACCCCAGCUGAGAAGUAAACCAAUUACCUCAAGUUCGAAGCUUCCAAGACUGGUUUUCCCACUUUGGCAUCUCCAAACAAGACCAAACACCAAAGCUACCACUUCUCCAACAAUUCCUUCACUAGUUUGCUUCUUGGAUUGAGAGAAAAAGAGAGGGAAAUUUAGAUAAGAAAAAAGCUGCGGAGUGUUGUUCAAGUACCUGGGCAAGUGCUAGACAUCUGAGUUAAAAAGAUAAGAGCAGAAAAUUGCAACUUAACCCCUUAAAAAACUAAAACUGCAUUGCAGUCUAGUAGUUCACAGUUCAGUCCCUGCAGGUUCGCAAAUCAGUCCCUGCAGGUUUACGAAUCAGUCCCUGCACUAAACAGAAGCUGGCAGCAGCAGUUUUCAGCCCCGUUUGCGCGUCUAGUUCACUCCGAACUCACUCUAACACCUCCAAAACAUGCCAAAGCAUCUUCACAAGCUACCAAAUUAAUUUGGAAGCAUUUAAUUUCCAUUUUAGCAUUAUCUUGACCAUUUUGAUCAAGAUUAGCAACAUAAUCAAUGAUCCGACAUAUUACAUUUAGAGUUUAGGAAUCCCUUUGCUCUAGAUUAAUUACAAUAACCCUAAUCCGGAAUUAAGAUUAAUCUACAGGUUUCCUCUUUAAUAGUUAAUUCACAUGUAUAUUACAUAUCUAUACACAUAACAUAUAGUUUUUUUCUAGAUUCCUUUUCAUAGUAAUAUGAACUCUAGAAGCUAAAACCUGCAGCUCAAGUCUUUAUAGAGUAAUUAACACCACUCAACAUAUAGCUUGUUCUCUAAAUCUUCAUGAUAAAAUAAGUUCUAGCAACCUAGAAAUCCUUUCUUAGGGUAAUUAAAAUAAAUCCUAGCAACAUAUGGCUUGUUCUCAGGUUGAUUGCUUCAUAGAUUAAUUGCUUCACACAUAUAUAUACAUAUAUGGCUUCUUAACAUGGCAUUUACUCUCUUUAGCAACCAAAAUUUAUAGCUCCACCCUUUUUAAAGUAGAUAAUCCAAUACUAUCCAGGAAAAUAUAGCAACUUUACCUCCAAUUGAAUACUUCAACCGCCCAUCGACCAUAAUUAACUAUCUCCCUCAUGCUAAUAUACAUAGAAUAUGCAUAAUAAUAAACAUAGCCUAUAGUAGCUGGGCUAAUUAAUUAGCAAGCCUCCUAUGCACGUAAAUACACCACCUAUGUUGUUUCAUGGCAAUUUCAACUCUAGCAGCUAGGAAAUCCUCUCAUAGAGUAAUUAGAACAAGCCUAACCAACCUCUGGUUCUAUUUCCAAUCCACAGCUCACAUAUAUGAUGCUCAUAUAUAGCUUUCUCUCACUAGGUUUCCAUUACAAUAGGAACUCUAGCAAUCAAAACACCUAUUACUCAAAUCUUUUUAGGUAAUUAGAACAAAUCCAACCAGAAAAUACUAACCCUUACCAAGGAGAGCAUAAACUUAUCUCAAAACUCAGCUCCAUCAGCCUUCUCAUCAUGCUCCUUAGCUUGCUCACACAACUCAACAUCAACUCCACCAAUUCUCUAUCCUCUACUUCACACGAUUAGAGAGAGAAAGAGAAAAUAAAAAGAAUGAGAUAAGGAGAAAGGAUAUGGAGAGGGGUCCUGCAUGGAGGAAUUCUAUACUGUCACACUUGCACCACGUCAUCAAUAACAAGCCAAUCACAUUUCUUCUUUUCAAACAAAAGUACAAUAAAAAUACUUUUUUACAAUCAUGAUGGGACAUAUAUUUUUAAAAGGAUUAAUUUGAUUGGUUUGUUACGCCACGUCACUAAUAUACCCGUUGCAUUCUAGAAUUUUUCCCUGCAUGCGUGGACAGCUAGGGUAUGCUGGUUGUAAAAGAUAAGAUCAGCCUAAUUGCAAAUAAACCCCUUCUAUUGCUGAAUUUACCCUUUUUACAAAUCUGUUUCCAACUCAGAAUCUGAAACCUAUCGCCGGAGCCUUCGUUUACGCUCAAAUUUGGCAGUCAGGCUCGAUUUAACCUACUGAGUAAAAAUAUAUCUUAACUUUUCAGUUUGGACCAUGUUUGGUCACCGAAAGCUCUACCGAACUGUAAUCUUUAGCAGAUAGCAGUCGGAUUUUAUUUUCCACCUUCCGGGUGUCAGAAUGACAUGAAACUUUAAAUCUAGCCUCACAAAAAUAAUUCUGACAUAUUCUCCAGUUUUCAUAAUUUUCUAACACUGCAUUUUCUGCUAAAAUAUCAGCCCCGUUCCUUACAGAAAAUUCUAAAUCUUCUGUUUUCACUCUAAUUUCCACACAAGUCAUUUUCGACUUAUAUUUUACUCCUCGGAAUCCAAUAAAAAUAGUAUUUUACACUAUUUUUAUUUACAUCUAUUUUUAUAUUAAAAUUUCGGUAUAUUACAAUAUAUCUAUGGAUUUCGUGGUCGGAUUGCCACGUUCGUCGAGUGGCCAUGAUGCAAUUUGGGUAAUUAUGGAUCGUUUGACGAAGUCGGCACAUUUUCUACCGAUCCACACUACUUUGUCGGGUGACAAGUUGGCGCAGGUAUAUCUUGAUGACGUGAUGAGAUUGCACGGGGUUUCGAAGUCGAUCGUGUCGGAUCGAAACCCCCGGUUUACUUCACACUUUUGGAAAAGCCUGCAGGAGGCGCUUGGUACACGGCUCGACUUCAGCACUGCAUUCCAUCCUCAAACCGAUGAGCAAUCAAAAAGAACCAUCCAAAUUUUAGAGGACAUGUUGCGAGCGUGUGCUAUCGACUAUAAGGGUAAUUGGAGCGAGCAUCUGCAGAUGGCUGAGUUCGCCUACAACAACACUUACCAAUAAAGUAGGAUGGCACUGUUUGAGGCUCUCUAUGGGAGGAAGUGUCGAUCUCCUAUACACUGGAGUGAUGUGGGCGAACGGGCAGUGUUAGGCCCGGAUGUCUUGCGAGAGGCGGAAAAAAAGGUCGGCCUUACUCGCCAAAGAUUGCUCACGGCGCAAUCUAGACAAAAGUGUUACUCAGAUAAGCACCGUCGAGAUUUAGAGUUCACGGUAGGAGACCGCGUCUUCUUAAAGGUAGCACCCAUCAGGGGUGUGAAGCGCUUCGGAGUUCAGGGAAAGUUAAGUUCCCGGUACAUUGGACUUUACGAGGUGUUAGAGCGCAUUGGUGCGGUAGCUUAUCAGCUUGCGUUGCCGCCGAAACUUGCGGAUGUUCACAACGUGUUCCACAUCUCCAACCUUCACAAGUAUAUCCAUCAUCCCGAGCAUGCUUUGUUGUAUGAUCCACCGGAAUUGCAAGAGGAUAUGUCCUACGAAGAAUUUUCGGUGUCGAUUAUUGCUCGAGAGGUGCGAAAGUUGAGAAAUCGCGAGAUUCCCUACGUUAAAGUUCGGUAGAGCAAUCACGAUGAUCGCGAAGCAACGUGGGAACUCGAGGACGUGAUGAAAGCGCAUCAUCCUUAUCUCUUUGAGGAGUGAGUUGAGGUAUGAAUUUGUGUUUAAGUUAGGUUAGUUUCGAGGACGAAACUCCUUUUAAGGAGGGGAGGAUGUAAGAUAUCGAAUCCCCGUAGUAGUAAUCCACUUUUGGCCAAGUUGACCAAAGUGUGGAGAGACGGAUGCUUAGGCAAGAUCCAUUUAACAUUCCAACCAUGUUGGAAGGGUUAAAGUUGAGUUCUAAAAGAGAUAACUGAGUUUUAGCAUUGCUCGGCGCAAAAUAGAAGUCGAACAGGUGCUAAAACUGCAGUCUGGGCAUUUCGUACCGGUACAACAUCAAGGUGGUACCGGUACCCCGUAAUAAACCGAGAGUAGCAGCUCUCGGAUUUGGCCUUUGCAUAGCUGUUGAACAGGUGACAGGUUGCCCAUGUACCGGUACCAACUGCAGAAAACUGCAGGUUUGGUCUGUUGCAAUUGGGGGUUGUUUGAGGAGCUUUUAUGCAAUUGUGGCAGUUUAUAAAAGGGCCCCAACCCUUCCUUUCUUGUUCAUAGCCAGUGAACUCCCUCCUCACCAUUUUCUUUCUUCCUUUCUCUCUCCAGAAGCUCUCGUAAGGGUGGAGGCUUAAGGAGGAUUGGUGGAGAGCGAGGUUUGGAGUUGGAUCUUCGUCUUCUUCGGCUUCUUCCUCGUUGUUGUAGCAGGUUUUUGAGGUGAGCUUCGUAGAGCUUUAAUGGUAGAUUUCUAGGGUUAAGUUUUUAUACCUUAGAAAUGAUUUUUAUGGAACCCUUAGAUGCUAAGUAGAUGAUUAUUGCUUGAAUCGCGAAGUUAUACGUCGGGUUCUUGCAAUAUUUCCGACCUAGGGUUCUAAAGUUGGUUUUGUAAAGUAGAGAUCCAAAGUUGGGAUUGAUCUCUUUUGUACCUAUUUGUUAGGCUUUCGAACGCGUUGGUAAAGUCGGUUCAGUGAUUCGUUGAGCCUACGCGAGGAUAUCGCCGAAAAGGACGUUUUCGGCUUCGUUUCCGCCUGGAGGGCCGAGACGGCGACAGAAAAUUACGAAACCAGGUUCCUAGCCUCGUUGCAUCGCUAAGAGAUGGGGUGCGUCAUCCCGAAGCAGUUGGGCUUCCUUUUAUGUCUAAGUCGUAUUAUUGACCAUAUCUUCAUAUGUUGUACUUAUGCAUUAUAGGAUGUAGUAUAGUUACAAUUCUAUUUUCUUGCAUGUUCCUUAGUAGUGUAGCAUUGUGAGCUUGACACAAGAACCUAGGGUGCAUGAGGAUUGAAUCUGGUGACAUGAAAUCCUAUAGUGACAAGAUAAGUGACAACAUGAAUUUGAGAUGAUGAUAAUAGUUGAUGUUGAACUAGUGUAGUAGAAGCACUACAACAUGAACGAGUGGCAUAUAAACUAGUUGAAACACCUACAACUAAUAAUUUGAACGAGUGGCAUCGAAUCUAGUAUAGUGAUACAUUAUGACAUGAUUCUAGGGAUAGUAGAGUUCCCGGUUAGUGAAUUGUGCACUUUGGAAUUAGUACGGUAGAAGCACUAUGACCCUUGUAGCUAGGGUAUCCUCGAGUUGUGAGGAUUGGAUCAUACUCAUUAGUCUAUUUACACUUGGUGUGGUCGCUCCACCCAAAUAGUGGUCUCCGGAGUACUUCACGACAGGGGCAGACGUAGUUAUCCCGCAGACGGUCUCGGUGUGCGAGUGCAGAUUCUCCUCACCUAUGAGAUUGAAAGGUGAGUCGGGGCGAACCUUCGGGCUAGCCAAGUUGAUUGAGUAAUGAACAUAAAUAGCAUAGUAGAUUUGCAUUCAUACCAUGAGUAGACAUAGUGUAUGUUAGUAGAUUGCAUAACUAUCUUUGUAUUUAUAUUCAUGAUAACGUUGAAGCAUACUAGCAUGAUAGUAGGUUUGUGGCUAGUUGGACACUUCAUGCAUUGCUUAGCAUUCGAUGGCAUAGUAGAAUGUAGCAGUUCAUUUCUAUCUAUCUAUCUAUCUAUCUAUCUAUCUAUCUGCUUAUGACUGCUUAGACCUAGUGGGAAGAUCGGCAGAGUCGGCGGCCGAAUCCACUAGGAACUAUAUUUAUAUAGUUCUCACCCCACUUUGUUGCAGGGUCGAGUUCGAGUGGACCGGCCGAGGACCGCGGUAAGGGCGCAGCGCCCUAGUAGUUAGCGGCUUUUCUGUUGCAUUAGAGUAUCCCGUGUAUAUAGAGAUGUUGAUAUGUAUAUAUUGGAGAGCUACUCAUGUAUAUAAAUGUUGAACUUGUAUACACCUUUUGGAGAUGUGAAUAUAUUUUGUGGAUGUUGUAUGUAAAUGUAAUAGCUAGGAAUCUCUCUUUUGUUCACUUGUAUAUCUACUUGUGUCUUGCUCUCGCUUGUAUAGCACUUGUGGUGCUUCAUGUAUAUUGUUUAAGUUUACCUGGGCAACAUGAUGUACAUGACUGUGUUUGUUAGCCUUGGGCGGACAGGUGAGGUGUUGUCCGCUCGGCGUCUGUUUAACGUGCCCCAACCGACCAAACUGGCGGUUGCGGGGCGUGACACACAUUGUCUCUAAUUAUUCAGAAUAAUACUUAAAAAGUGGGGUCCACCUCCUCUUUAACUAUUUAGAAUAAUAUUUAUUUUUUUAAAAAAUAGGACCUACCCUCCCAACCCGUACCCUCUGACCCCCUGCCUUCUUUUUCUUUUAUUUUUGUUUUUUUCGUCCACCGCUCCAGCUCCUCAUCCCGAAACCCCUCCAUCCUUUCGCCUCUUCUUCUCUUCUCCUUACCGUCCCCGUGUCCCCUCAUCUUCCCCACUCUCUCAAGCCUUAACUUCCACCCUCUGGUCUUCUCCGCGAUCAGGCAUCCACUAACUCUUUCUCUCUCUCUUUUUCUCUCUUUCCCUCUCCUCUUUCUCUAUCCCCUAGUAAUGGUCUCCUUUCUCUCUCCUCUCGCCACAAUGCCCAUGCCCUAAACCCUCCCUUGCGCUGCCGCCCCGCAAACCCUAACCCUAACCCUUUCCCUCCUCUCUACAUCCUCUUCUCGACCACUCCUCGGUGGCUCUGCACUUGCGUCGAUCAGAUCAGGGCUUCGAUGCAGUCCCUGAUUUUCGGAUCGCAACCAAUAGAAAGGAGCCUCGCGGAUUCGACGGAGACAACAGAGGUGAGCUAUGGAUCAGAUCCUCGAGGUGGAGAACAUUCUAUGAAUUCCCGUGGGAUUCGAGCUCUCCCCUUAUUUCAAGGAAAAAAGUGGGAAGUCAGCAGAUGUCACCGGGAAGUUCUUCGCAAGUAAUUUCGCUAGAGGUUCGACAUCAUCGACAAGGAGAAUCUCAUUAUGUGUUCCCCUUCUCUCUCUCUCUCUAGACUGAGAUAUGGUGUGAGGUAGAUUGAAUUUGUAGGUCCUGUGACUAUUGCAGAUCGAGAAGCAAAGGAGUCGAUGGUGUCGAUCAUACUGGAGAGCUUCCCUUCUCAUGCUGUGUGAGAUUGCUAACUUGCUAAUUUUCUUUUGAUUCUUAGUUGUAAUUUGCUUGAAAUCGAAGGUUUAGAAGAAAACGUAACAUAAUAUUUUUUUAAUUAUCAAAAUAUUAUGUAUUUUUCAUAACGGAAACUUAAUUUUCAAAUUCUCACUAAAUCAGAUGGAGUUUCUGUUGAGGUUCAAAUAUAAAAUCCUAGAAUUCAAUUACCUAUUUUAUUGUCUAAAGCUAAUCAAUGUCCCUAAUAUAUUUUCCUUGCUACAAUUUUCUAUUGCUUUAUUUUAGCUAUGGUGCUCCUAAGAGAGUUGAUUUUUUUUUUUUCAUUUAUAUAAUUCAACUAUGAUGAUCUGAAGCUUGUCAUAUAGUAUCCAAAGUAAAAAAAAAUUGUAGUUGAGUUUGCUACUGAAAUCAUUGACUAAUUUGCAGGUCUUUAUGUGUCACGCCGGGUACCAGCGGAAGCAUAUCCGGUACGUGCAUAGACCCGCCAUACACCUGUAGUAUAUAAGGCGUCUACAAGAAACAAGUCGAUAGGAGUAAAAACAUAAAAUAAUCCUAUCCUGAUAUCAGAGCAUAAUAAAAGUCACAAAGAUUAUCAACAAUAGAACAAGGAGUAUCUAAUCCACAAACUCAACAAAACGUAAGUAUCACAACUAUAACAUCUGUCCAGAAAGUAAAUAUACAUCACGGGGUGUACAAAAAGAAUAGAUACAAUGGUGGUCUCUCUAUACAUAGGGACAUCACCCUCGGCCGUAGCCCGAGUAGUAAGGUGAUCGACUAGCAUGCUCCUAGCAAUGUCUAGCUAGACGCGACUCCCUUGCCACGAUCCCUAGCCUCUCCUGUAGAUGGCUCUGUAAAAACAACCACNGAGAUGUGCUGAACCAUAGACUUUGUUUGCUUGCCAUUGUGCUCAUUCGCACACGCUUGUGAGGGUAGCUCCCUACAAGCCGGCACUUCGGAGUUGGCCUACACGACACUUGCUCGCCCGUGCGGGAUUGGGUGCCGAAGUGGAUUGCCGUGGGGAGUGUAUACUACCACGGGGCCAUUAGACGCGGCGCAAGCUGGACUACCUGGGGUAGGUCCUAAUAAAUGAAAAGGAAAACUAUAAAUGAGAUUAAGUACUAAAUGAUAUUUGAUAGUAUUUGAUAGUAACGAAUGCUUACCUGUUACAGUAGGUAUCUACAUAUUCGUGCUUAUGUUCAUGUUGAUUUCAUGCUCAUCACCUGUUAGCAUUGCAUAUAUAUAUAUAUAUAUAUAUAUAUAUAUAUGCAAUGCUAACAGGUGAUGAGCAUGAAAUCAACAUGAACAUAAGCACGAAUAUGUAGAUACCUACUGUAACAGGUAAGCAUUCGUUACUAUCAAAUACUAUCAAAUAUCAUUUAGUACUUAAUCUCAUUUAUAGUUUUCCUUUUCAUUUAUUAGGACCUACCCCAGGUAGUCCAGCUUGCGCCGCGUCUAAUGGCCCCGUGGUAGUAUACACUCCCCACGGCAAUCCACUUCGGCACCCAAUCCCGCACGGGCGAGCAAGUGUCGUGUAGGCCAACUCCGAAGUGCCGGCUUGUAGGGAGCUACCCUCACAAGCGUGUGCGAAUGAGCACAAUGGCAAGCAAACAAAGUCUAUGGUUCAGCACAUCUCUAACAUCUUGGCAUAGUACAUCAUGUUGUCACUCUCGAUUUAUUGAUCAGAAUUCUCAAUAUAAAGAAUAUUGACAAUAACUAGUAACCACUAGAUUAGUAAGCAUGUGAGAGUAAUGCGAAUUCACAUAUGGCAUUAGAAACUAUCCACUACCAUGGCACUAUCAUUAUAGUCACCAAUCAUGUCCUUGUUCUAUACUCUAUAAUCAAUAAAGUCAUAAGAAUGUUAUUGUUCUCUAAUUUCUAGGAACAUGAUAACUUGUCCAUUAAUCAUUCAACCGAGUUAAACAUGAACAUAAAGACUUGUAUGCAUAAAUGUUCUCUAUUUCAUAGAGUUCUCAAUUUAAUUAUGCAUUAUGCAUCGACACUAGAGUUUAAUGACUAGUCUCAAGUCCUAUAUCCACCACCAAAAACAUACAAUUAUGCCAAUUCUAUAAUGACAUAUAGAACAUAGGGGAGCUUCACUUGCUCUGGUUAGGUCAAACCCACCUAUCACAAGGCUCAAAUCAGUCCAAAAGAGUCCCAAGAUGUAGCUCAACUAGUCCCCGACCCUGCUGAAAAUGAAACGUAAGAAUCGCGUCAUAACGGGUACUACAAAUCCAAUUUCGGCGAAAUUCUCAAUUGCAACUAUAUUGGGACUUAAUUCCCUAUUUUGGUUCAGGGGAAUACCUCAAAUUAAGCCUCCACAAGCUCUCACCAACUAGAUGAAAACGAUACAAGGGUCAAUUAUAAUCCUGCUGCGGACAAACACGAAAUGGCGUCAAAAAGCUCAUAUACAAAAUCAAAUGGCCGAAACUUUGCGAAUUCAGUUUUCUAACUGAAAUUCUUGCUUACCCCUGGCUGGAACACCCUGUAGACAAGUUCUCGAGGUCAUAAAUAUAGUUUAAUGGAGUUCAAUAACCUGCUGCGAAGACAUAAAAUCCAAACUGCAUCAAUUACACGGUUAACUUCGUUUAGUUCCGAACUAGCUUCGUAAAUAAGUAAUUCUCUUACCUCGGCUUUACAGCAACUCUUUUACUGAGCUAAAGUAGUUCCUUCACAGUCAAAAGAAUCCCUCGUUACUACUGAAAACCUCCUCGAAUUCAGUUAGAAGCAGUGAAACCAAAAUGCAUCAAAUUUCAAUGCUAUAUCGCAAAUUAGCGAGAAAUUGAGCUAAUUCCUUAUCUAAAGCUGAGAUAUAGCUUCUUAGGUACUAACCUCAUAGAAAACUCAGAGAAAAACUUCCUCCCCAUGUGCUAGAAGCAUCCCGAGAGUCGCCAAGGCAGCGAGCAACGAGCACGGCACGAAAUCAACUCGAAUCGGCGACUUUUCCGUAGAGAGAGAAAAACCCUAGAGAGAGAGAGAGAAAGAAAAGGUAGAGGAUCAAAUCCUGAGCUCCAGAACCCUCUACUGAGUAUCCCUGGUCGAGCUGGGCAAAAGGGAUAAGAACAGGAGGCAAAAAGACCAAAAUAACCUGUUGCCACGCACCUGCUGCAGCUGCUGCUUGCUGUACCGGUACAGGGUGAUGGCUGUACCGGUACACAGUGCAGAAAAUGCUGAAUUUCGCCAGUUCAAUGCACUUUCUUGCUUCUAACUUUCCAAUUAUCCUCUAACUUGUUCAAAAACUUGUCUAAACCUUUUAGGACAUGUAGAAUAGUUCCACAUUCCAUUCCACACACUCGAACUCCGCAAUUUGCAGAAGUUCAGUGUAUUACAUUAUGCCUUUCAAGUUUAGAAUAAGAGCCAGUCGAGUAACAAUCAAGUGUUGGUUCAAAAGUGUUUCAAGUAAAUUUGCAUUCCCAAAAAUUGUAGAAUCUUUCAGGUAAAUUUGCAUUCUUUUGUGCUUAUCAAGAUUUCGACCAUUGCGAGUUUGUUUGUGUAAUACAAUAUUACUGGAAGAAAUAUUAGAUGCUUUAUUAAUUCUCACUUGGCAACGAUGUCUUAAUAAACUUAUUUAUUGCUUAGAUAACCUUACUACAAAAUAAUCAUUUACUAAUUAGUGCCUUUAUUGCUGGCAGGUGUUGUGACCAUAGUUAGUUAAUUCGGAUUCGGCAAAAAUUUGGUACGGAUAUAAUUCGGAUAAAAUUCGUCUUCUAAUUUUUAAAUUCGUUAAAAAAUACGGCUAAAAAACGGAUUCGUCAAUUAUUUGGAUACGUGAUUUAUACGGAUAUUAUACGUUCAUCAAUUAAAAAUUCGGGAACAAAAAUUCAGCUAUUAAAUUAAGUUUUUUUUCUCUCAAGAUUUAUGUUAUUAGUAUAAAUACUCAUAUUUCUUAUGAAUAUAAGAAUAAAAAGAUACAAAAUUAAGUUAAUUUAGUAAAAAAUUUGAAAAAAGUUUUUUUUCUGUAAUUAAAUUAAGAGUUUUUUUUUUCUGUAACUUAAUUAAAUUAAGUUAAUUAAUAAGUACGGGCGCUCCGCUCGAGGCUGUCACGCCCGGGUACCAGCGGAAGCAUAUCCGGUACGUGCACAGACCCGCCAUACACCUGCAGUAUAUAAGGCGUCUACAAGAAACAAGUCGAGAGUAAAAACAUAACAUAAUCCUAUCCUGAUAUCAGAACGCAGUAAAAGUCACAAAGACUAUCAACAAAAGAACGAGAGUAUCCAACUCCAAAUAUAAGUACAAAAGAAAGUACUAAAACUGCCACAUCUGGAUCCAAAACUCAUUUACAACACAGGGUACACAAAAUAUCUGUACAAUGGUAGUCUCUCUAUAAACUGGACAUCACCCUCGGCCGUAGCCCGAGUAGCAAGGUGAUCGACUAGAAUGCUCCUAGCAAUGUCUAGCUAGACGCAACUCCUUUGCCACAAUCCCUAGCCUCUCCUGUAGACGGCUCUGUAAAAACAACAAUAAAAAGGGCGUGAGAACUAUUAACAAUAGUUCCCAGUGGGUAAGCCGCCAGCCUCGGCGAAUUAUACCACUAGGCUCAUGAUGUACUAAAUGAAAAUAAAAGCGAUAAUUGCAUGAUAUCUAUAUGCAAUGGUAGCAGACAAUAGGCAUGUAAUCAACAUGUAAUCACGACUUCUGCAGUAAUGAAUCAACUGAAUAAUAAAAGCAUAGCAAUUACUAUACGCAUGAAUAUAAACAUUAAUGUGUGAGUAAAUACUGUACACCAUAACUGAUAAGCAUUCAUUACUGUCCAAAAGUCAUUUAGUACUUCCAUUUCGUUCAUAAGGACCUACUCACGGUAGUCCAACUUGCGCCGCGCCUAAUGGCCCCGUGGUAGUAUAUACUCCCCACGGCAAUCCACUUUGGCACCCAAUCCCGCACGGGCGAGCAACUGUCACGUAGGCCAACUCCGGAGUGCCGGCUUGUAGGGAGCGACCCUCACAAGCGUGUGCGAAUGAGCACGAUGGCAAGCAAGCAUAUCCACUGUCCACAUGUCUCAAUUAUCAUGUUUUUAUUUGCAAUGUUCUUACCCUCGAUCCUCUGAUCGGAAUUGCAAUACACAAAUAGUAACAAGAACUAGUAUCCACUAGAUUGUAAACAUGUAAGAGUAAUGCUAAAUCACAUGGCAUUAUAAUCUUUCCACUAUUAUGGCACUGUCAACAUAGUCAAAGCAUGUUAUAGUUCUCUACUUUAGAGUCAAGAGAAUAUCAUUGUUUUCUACUUUAUAAGUGUAUCCUACACUUGUUCAUAAGUCAUUCUACAGUAUUAGACAUGAUCAUAAAUACUUUUGUGCAUGCAGUCUCUCUACUUCAUCUCUACUUUAUAGAGGUACAAUGUCAAACAUAUCAAACAUGAUGGCAAAGAUGUCCAAAUUCAUAUCAAUCACAUAGUCGCAAAAAGCGCACUACAAAACCCAUUCUAUAGUGACAUAUAGAAUAUAGGGGAGCUUCACUUGCUCUGGUUAGGUCAAACCCACCUAUUACUAGGCUCCAAUCAGUCCAAAGGAACUCCCAAAAUUAGCUCCACAAGGUCUCAACUCUGCUGAAAAAUAAGGCACGAAAGUGGCAUCACUAUUACAAUCGAAAUGUCCGAUCUAGGCACAAUUCGCACUUAGUACAAAACAGUAGCUUGAAUCCCUGUUUCGGGCUAGUUUAAUACCUCAAGAUGAGUCUCCAAGAGCUCUCACAGGUUCACUAAAGGUGAUCCAAAGCUCGGUCGCACUCUCGCUGUAGACAACAUCGAAAUGGCAUCCAAACGCUCAAUUAUAAAUUAAUAUCAUCGAAAUCUUGCAAAAUCAGUUUUAAAACUGAAAUUUCUAAUUACCCUUAAUUAGAAUACCCUCCAAACCAGCUUCCAAGAGUACACGUUCCGCUCAAAGAGGCCCCAAAGACCUGCUGCGAAGAGAUCAUACAAUCCUGCGUCAAGUUGUUCCAACAAAUCGCAUAUAGGUCCGAAAUAGCCUUAUUAGUUGACUAAUUACCUGUAUCAAGCCUCAAAGCAACUUUUCCCUGGAUCAAAGUGGGUAAAUCACAGCUAGAUAUCUCCUGUCUAGCUGCAGGAAACCCUAACAAACUCUGCUGGAAUCAACGGAACAAGAACGCGUCAAAAUCCGACAAUAAACCACAAACUAGAGAAAAAUUGAGAUAAAUACUUCUCUAAAGCUCUCUAUCAGCAGCUCUCAGCAUUAGACAUGGAAAAUACUGUCAAAACACAUCCCUUUACCUUUUAAAAGCUGGCCCCUAGUCCACCCAACCAGCGAGCGACGAGUGCGGCGCAAAAUCGGUGCAAAAUGGCGACUUCAACUUAGUGAUAGAAAACCCUAGAGAGAGAGAAGAAGAAGAAGAUGGAGGAACCUUUCUCUGAGCUCUAGCAACUUCUACACAGCUCCUGGGGUCGUGCUGGAUCAGUGGAGAUAAGAACAAGAGGUAAAAAGACUAAAAGGGCCCUGCUGUCCCGCAGCAGCUGACUCUGCUGCUUGCUGUACCGGUACAGCAUAAUGCCUGUACCGGUACACAAUGCAAAAUCUGCCCAAUGCGCAGAAGCAAUGCACUUUCUUGUGUCUGGCAAUCCGAUCACUCUCUAACUUGUCCAAAAACUUGUUCAAGCCUUUUAGAACAUGUAGGAUAGUUCCACAACUCAUGCCACACACUUGAACUCCGCAAUUUGCAAAAGUUCAGUGUAUUACAGAUGCGCUCGAGGCGCGCGCUGGCCUCGCACGCGAGCCUCGCAGGCCUCACGGGCCUCGCAGGUCUCGCGGGCGCGCGCGGGCCUCGCGGGAGCACGCACGGCGCCGGAGCGCAAGCGGGCCACGUUUUUUUCGCUCCGAAUUAUUCGGCCCGCGUAUAAUACGCGAAUACGUUUUUUUAUCCAAAAAAUCGGGUUUUUUUCCGAAUUUUUGUGAAAAAUACGAAUUUGGUUGUUUAAUUCGUUUCUUCAAAAAUUCGCGAAUAAUUCACGAAUUUACUAACAUAGGUUGUGACAGAGAGAAUUUGAGAGGCCCAUGAAAAUAAUCUGUCUAAUGAUGUUGCUCUUUCCUAGUUAAUGUACAUUGGCAGCUCAUUGAGUUAUCUUUUAACAUUGUUUUAAUUAUUUCAUUGUCUUGAUUUGGUCAUUUUUUUCGUUGUUGUUGAACUUAGUCAGUUGUUUCAUUGACUACAACUGCAAAAUUGAUGGCAUUCUAUGAUGCUGCUAGAAUGCAGCAUCAAGAACUAGCUGUAGUGCAGUUAUUUGGUGAGCAUAAAUGCCACUAAAAUAUCUUUGAUGCUAUGGAGAAGAAGACUAAGUAAUGAAAUGCAACUAUUCAAAGUUAUAAAAGAGUCAUGUAGGUUGUGAACCAAUUUUGAGGUAUUAGAACUCUAGCAUUGUCAAUCCAAUCAAGAAAGGAGUUCACUAAUGAAAUCUAUGUUGAUUUUUCUACUAUUCUAAGAGAAUGCAACUGUCAUCUGAAAUUUUUUAAUUUUCAUGUUUGGUAGAAUGAAACACCAACUUACUAAACACAUGUUUUUUGUGCCAAAAGUGAUUAAAGUUUGAUGAAGGUCAUGCAGCUCAAAGGGAAGCACGUCUACAUGGUUCAUUCAACUGUGGUAUUUUAUGGUGAAUAAUACAUUUUCUCCAAUUUAGUAUCAAUUAUAGGCUUUAUUUAGGUGAACGAGAAACAACCAAUCUGAAUAAUCAUCUGCCAUGAUAAAAAAUUAAUGGGUGGAAUUGAAGCCCGUGAGCAAUUGGUGGUCGUUGAAGAUGGUUUAUGUUUAGGAGAUUUCUGAUCAUGAGCAACAAGCAUCAAGUUUGAAUUCUUAGCUAAUAUAUGAAUUGUCCAAGCCAAGUAGUUUUGCUAAAUUAGAUGGAAUCUUGGUCUAUGUGUAUGGAAUGUGCAAAGCACAACCAUGCGAUUCUUAUAAUUAUUUUGUAUGAUUGCAUGCACAAGUAAUCCUGCUAUGACCUAAAAUUAGUGAUAACUACAGAAAGGGACAUUAGGUCCACAAAGAGUAACAAUAAGAUUUUCACUCUUUACAAGAUCUGUAGUGUGUUGCCUAUAUCCAUAUAGGUGAUUAUGCAUACAUUACCUAAAAGGAAAUAUAUCAUCUUGAUUCUAAAUUAUUCCUUUUAUCAUCUUUAUAUCUUCUCUUUUUCUGUUUAGAUUGUGCCCUAACUACCAGAUUUACAAAUUUCAGAUGGCACAACAACAAAUGGGGGUACCUUCUUCCAUUCAAGACUGGUGCUUUCUUAGCAAAGGUUCCAGUGUUUCCAGUAAUUCUAAGAUGUCCUUACAAAAGAUUCAGUCCAGCAUAGAAUUCCAUAAAUGGAGUAAGAAUUCUACGUGCUAUUUGUAUCUUGGGAGAGGUCAAAUUCUGGUGGUAAACUUUUAAAUAAUAAAAUUGUGGUAGUCAAAGAAUGAAAGAGAUCAUUCUCUAUUGGCUUUUUAUAAUAUUUUUUACAUUUCCAGGUGAUGUUAUAUUGAGCUUCUUUUGCAAUAUGUAAUGAUUUAGAUAGAUUUAUCCCAAAUACACUCUUUUUAGAUUAUAUUGGUAUAUUUUUUUUGUAUGAAAAAAAUGUACAUUGGGUAAGGACUGAGUGUAGCAUGGCAAGUUGUAACACACUGGACCUUUGCAAAUUGCAAGGUUCGAGUGUUUGCUCUGUGUUCCAAAUUUUUUCAGAUAUUCUGGAGGGUCGUUGACAGUGUUCCGACCUAUGGCUCGUAUCCCGAGAUUUAUGGUGUUUUAAGUAGCGCUAAGGCCACCAAAGAGGAGGACUUAGGCUACUCUCGGGUUGCCUCUGCAGGCUGUGUACUGGUACAGCCUUGAUGGUUGUACCGGUACAGAAAGUGUACCGGUACACCUUGAUGGUUGUACCGGUACAAAUGUGGUAAAUUGCCAACCCGAGGCUCGGGUUAGUUGUUUCGCAGGAUUUGUACUGGUACAUUUUUCCGUGUACCGGUACACUUUGCCAGACUGCGAACAGGCAGUGUUUGAGGGGUGUUUUUGUAAUUGUGCUCUUCUAUAACUACACCCCACGCCUCUUAGAGGCUCCCCUGAGCUGAAACCAGUGGAGAAGAGGUAGGGAACCCUUUUCUUUGAUUCCCUUUCCAUUUUUGAUGGAUUUUGGCUUGUUUUGAUCCUUCUCUUCUACUCUUUCUUGCUCUUUGUUGGGUGUUCGCCUUGGGAGAAGCUUUGAAGCUUUUGUUGGAGCUUGGUAGAGGAAGGAUCUUCAACUUCGGGGCAUUCCAAACUUUGUUUGGAGCUUCUUGUGAGGUUAGUAUCCUUGAUCUCUCUUUUGGAUCAAGUUUUGAUAGUUUUUACGAUAUAAAACCCUAAAAUGAGAUUUACGGUUAGAAUUGGGGAUUUUCGAUUGGAGGGUUUUAGAACCAAAUUGAUGUGUUUAGAACCUUUGUUUAGGUUACUUUGGAAGGACUCUAACUCCCUUUUGGAGAUCGAGAGAGUUUCCUUCGCAUUCAGUGAGUUUUCUCCACCUUUGCUCGAAUUGCUUAAUGUUUGAGCUUAGUGUUGUUCGUAAGGUUCGUUUAACUCUCAUUUCUAUACCUUUAGGGUACUAGGAGAGUGGUGGACACCUUCGUCGGAGCAAACGAAUGAUUUCGAUUAGUUUCGGUGGGUUUGGCUUCAUUGGAAUAGGAGAAAACUUCUCCUAAGUGGUUAAAUGUUUUCGUUUCAUCGCAUCGCAUGCAUAUUCAUGCUACAUAAAAUUUAUGUGAAUUUUAGAAUACUUAAAAUGCAUGUGUUAUGUACCAUAAAAAUUCAUCUCUAUAUAAUAGAGCAUUAUGUGUAAUGUGCAUGCAUGAGAAAAGUAUUCUCUAUUCCAAGUUGGAACACAUGUUGCAUGUGAGGAAAAUAGUUGAAAUAUGUAUCCAUGAGCAUUAAACUCAUGUUUGAACAUAGUGAACUAGAAUGCCAUAAAGAGGCACUUGACUUAGUAAAUUGCGAAACUGCAAUAUAGGGACAUAGAGGUAGGCCAUCGACACAAUUGCUAUAUUCUAUGUUUUAGACAUGAUGACAUAGUGAUAAACCAUCGACACCGUUGCUAUAUUCCAUGUUUUAGAUAUGAUGGCUUGGGACUUGAGACAGACUUAUAUGCUUACUUGCCGUUGUGCUCAUUCGCACAUGCUUAUGAGGGUCGCUCCCUACAAGCCGGCACUCCGGAGAUAGUCAUCACGAUACAUACUCGCCAUGCGGGAUUGGGCGCCGAAGUGGAUUGCCGUGGGCAAGGCUCAUUCCUAGAGUGGGGAUGUUGACUACCACGAGGCCAUUAGGCACGGCACCGGCCAGACAGCCUACGGGUGGGUCUUCAGGCCAGGCAACCUACGAGUGGGUCUUACAAGAUUGAGACUUUAAAUAGUUAACAUGCCAUGAGGACAUUGACUAGAAUAGUAAACAUUGACAUUUUACUAUUUCGUUGUAGACAUCAUGUUGGUUGUAUUUUCCGCCUAUUCAUGUAUAGAAUAACUUUCUUACUUACACAAUUUUAUGCUAAGUAGAGAUAUCAUGUUGUAGUAAGUUUACAUGUUUAUUUACAUGUCGUUCAUAUCACUUUUACUUAUUUACUUACCUGUUUAGUUUUGGGCCUAGUGGAGCACUUAACUGAAGUCAGUAAUCGCCUACUAGGAACUAUUAUUUAAUAGUUCUCACGUCCUCUGUUUGAUGUUCUUUUUCAGAGCCUUCAGCACCGGCGGAGGCACGGGAUCGCGGCAAGGGGGUCGCAUAGCUAGUUAGCGUGGAGCUUGCUCUUUUUGUGUUUUGGUGAGAGAGAGUUUUCUUACCAUGUAUAGAGACCACCAUUGUAUUAUUGUUAGCUCUUGUACUUGGUAUUUUAGUUGUAUCACUUUAUGGUUUUAUUUAGUGGAUUUUAGUCCUAUGUUCUUUCCUUUAUUGUAGAACCUAGUUGUAUUUUGCUCUGAUACUCCUAGAUCUUCUUCUUCUACUGCUUUAUUUAACGUUUUGCUAUAGACGCCUUAUAUGUUUUAGACAUAUGGCGGGUCUGGGCACGCGCCGGGGCAAGCUUCCGCUGUGCCCCGGGGCGUGACACAAGUACAAUAUAAUAUUGUAUUUACCAAACAUUCAAUUUUUUCAGUUUCUAGGGGGUUUUAUAUGCUAAGUUUGCGACACUUAAAAAUCUUUAAGAAAUAAUCUUGGGUGAUUUUAGAAAUAUAAUUGUAGUUCUGCACUAUAUGGGGAAAGCUAAUAGUGACUGAUUUUAGUAGUUUUUCACUAAUUUUUGCGGACAAAACUAAUAUUUUUCAUUUCAUAGUACAUGCAUGCUACAAAGUUGCACUAUAUUUCAGACUUAUUUCUCCAAAUUAUUACCGAUGAUAAAAAAUAUAAUUACUUUGAUAAUGUCUCUGCGCCGCAUCGCGCGGGUAAUUGCACUAGUAAUAUUUAAUUCAAUAGUUAGAAAUGAUCAAAGGAAUCGAUGCAAAGGCUAAAAACUUGAUAGCAAAAAGGGCAAAUACUAUUAAUAGUAUUCUAGCCUAACUCAUAUAUAUAUAGAGCUAGACUGGUAUACUAUCGGUAGCACGGAGACCUCCAUGCUAUAAAGUUGUUUUCAAUGAUACGGUUUUCAAAUUGACGACCGGCUCCGUUAGACUUGAUCUACACCAUUAAAAAUAUUUGGAAACUAAAUUUCAUAAUUUUUCGACAUCAUUUGGCUAGUGAUCAAAAGGUUUCAAAAUUGAUAAUUUUAAUGAUAGAUGUGAUACGUUUGUGAAUUUAACGGUGUAAAACAAUCCAGAUCAGAUGAAAUUUUUAUACAAAAUUUUUUUCACUAUUUAAAAUAAGAUCAUUACCUCUGAUAUUAAAUUCAAGUCUUUUAUCAUUAUUUUUUUAUGAGAUUUUUAAUUUCAGCCGUUCAUUUUUAGAUUACUUGUUUGAUAGGUAAAUGAUGCCGGAAAAUUAUAAAAUUUAGUUUUCAAAUAUUUUCAAUAGUGUAGAUCAAGUAUAGCAAAGCCGAUCGUCGAUUUUUAAGCCGCAUCAUAGCCUUCUCGGUCACGCGUUGGGGUUCCGGUACCCUACUCAGGUACCGGUACUCAACACCCCAAAAUCUAAAUUUACAGAUUUUGGUGUUAAGAACUCCCUUUCGCGUUCACAAAACAUGAGUAAUAGUUCGGUACACAAUCAACGAUCCUCAAACACACCAAGAAUAGAUUAAAAUACUAUUCUGACACUAGAACCUUAUAAUUUGCUAAAGUUCAGUGUAUUACACGAGCACUGCUUCCUAAUGGGCCUCAAGUCCAAAGAAGGAGAGGUGGACAGAGAGAGUUGCGGGAGAGAGAGAGAUGAAGGUAGCAGCGAGCUUAGCUGACCGGGAAAGGGUCGCCGGUGACCGGGGUUUUGCGCGGCACCUCACAGAGGAAGGAAAGGUUCGGCUAGGGCUUGGGGUUGAGGAGAUGGGGGCUAGGGUUAGGGUUUCUUCAUGAGGAACCCUAGGUGCAAUAUAAACACCACACGUAAAAUCGCAGGAAACCCCUCGAAACCUCAACAAAAUAACUCGAGUCCUUUAGCAUUUGCAUAAAACGUGCCAACGCCCCUCCACGAGCGAUCCCUCGAGAAACGAUACAUAAAAUAUUGGAUAUUUUACAAAAAUACCCACUUCGCAAAAGCGUCCUUUCCUUGACAAACGCGCAAUUUUACAUAAUCGGUUUGGCAGAUUUAUGAACGGAUCGCGCCAACGCUUCUAGCACUGCCAGACCAUCAAACUUACAAUUUUGUUUCGUUGGAAAUGGUCGCCGAUUCGCAACAAAACAAACCCUCUUCCACACCUUCACCAAAACAUACAUACAUAUAUACAUAUAUUCAGACUAUAUAUAUAUAUAUAAAGAAGGAUUUAAAACUUUAAAAACUUUAAAUUCAAAUUCAAAUCCAACCCCUCAAGAUUCACAGAUAUUGCAGAGAGAUUUAUUUAUAUUUUUAAUGAAAAAUCUUGAAGAAAUCAUAACUUUUAAUUUAGAACUCCAAAUGUUACAAGAAAUAUAUCAAUAGAAAGCUUGUGAAGAGCUCUACCAAAUUAUAUAAUUUUCAUAAUAGGAUAUGUAUUACACAUCAAACAAGCCACUCAUGAAAGUUUUAAUCAGAAUUUCAUUUUUCUCAUAAAAUAUACAUAGUUUGAUUUAAUUUAGAACUCCAAAUGUUACAAGAAAUAUAUCAAUAGAAAGCUUGUGAAGAGCUCUACCAAAUUAUAUAAUUUUCAUAAUAGGAUAUGUAUUACACAUCAAACAAGCCACUCAUGAAAGUUUUAAUCAGAAUUUCAUUUUUCUCAUAAAAUACGAAACCAAAUUAAAUCAAACUAUGUAGAUAUAACCUACAGCAUAAAUGCUACAAGUUGUGUAAAAAUCAUGUAAAAAUCAUGCAAUUGUAUCCACCCUAGAAUAAGCUGCCAUUAACGCCCCAAGCAUGCAAGAAAAUAUCCAAACGAUGGUAGAUUUAAAUCUACGCAUGCAAUCUUGUUAAAAAUUAAUCUAGGGUAUGAAAUCAACCUUACAAAGCUCUGAUACCAGUGUAGAACGCAACGAAAGUACUCGUUCGUACCUUUUAUGGAAGCAACUCGCGCUAGAACGCGAUAAGCCCGGAUCGUAGAAGUUGAUUCACGUGUUCUCGGAUCAUUCACGAGGGUCUUCUAAAGCUCCAAACCCUCGGUACGUAGAUUGAACUAUGAAUGAGCACAAUCUCUAAUCUACGGUUCAAGACUCUCCAAAAAUAAUAGGUUAAUGAAGGAUGUGGUUUCUCUCUCUAACAAGAUGGCUUACAAAUUACCCAUGAAUUUAUGAGUAUUUUUCUCUAUUUUUCUUCUUCUUUCUAUGAGAGAUUAGCCCGUAUAUUUAUAAAGGAUCCCAAAAUUCUAAUACAUAAGUAAGAGAUUAGCCGGAAUCAGUUUGUGAUUGUUAUUCUAAUAUGGCUAGAAUUUAUUUCUAAUUAGUUUUUUAAUUUAAAAGCAAGAUUAAGUCUAGUCUAUUUAGAUAACAUAAUAAUCAUUGGAUCGAGCCCAAUCAUGGGCGCACUUGAUUCGGUUUAAUCGAAUGCCAAUAAAGCAAAAUCAAAUUCUUUACUUUCAAUCACACAAAAAAAUUCUCACAUUCAAUAAGUUUUCACUAAAUAAACUAUUCCAACGUCUAG
rnacentral:lncRNA from 1 species